GACGAACGCUGGCGGCGUGCCUAAUACAUGCAAGUCGAACGAAGUUGUUUAACUGGUGCUUGCACCGACUUAAACAACUGAGUGGCGAACGGGUGAGUAACACGUGGGUAACCUGCCCCGAAAGUGGGGGAUAACAUUUGGAAACGAGAUGCUAAUACCGCAUAACCACAGAAACCUCAUGGUUUCUGUGUCAAAGAUGGUUUCGGCUAUCACUUUGGGAUGGACCCCGCGGCGUAUUAGCUAGUUGGG
rnacentral:rRNA from 1 species